CGAUGAAGCCCUUCGGGGUGGAUUAGUGGCGAACGGGUGAGUAACACGUGGGCAAUCUGCCCUUCACUCUGGGACAAGCCCUGGAAACGGGGUCUAAUACCGGAUACGACCUGGAAGCGCAUGCUUCUGGGUGGAAAGCUCCGGCGGUGAAGGAUGAGCCCGCGGCCUAUCAGCUUGUUGGUGGGGUAAUGGCCUACCAAGGCGACGACGGGUAGCCGGCCUGAGAGGGCGACCGGCCACACUGGGACUGAGACACGGCCCAGACUCCUACGGGAGGCAGCAGUGGGGAAUAUUGCACAAUGGGCGAAAGCCUGAUGCAGCGACGCCGCGUGAGGGAUGACGGCCUUCGGGUUGUAAACCUCUUUCAGCAGGGAAGAAGCGCAAGUGACGGUACCUGCAGAAGAAGCGCCGGCUAACUACGUGCCAGCAGCCGCGGUAAUACGUAGGGCGCAAGCGUUGUCCGGAAUUAUUGGGCGUAAAGAGCUCGUAGGCGGCUUGUCACGUCGGAUGUGAAAGCCCGGGGCUUAACCCCGGGUCUGCAUUCGAUACGGGCUAGCUAGAGUGUGGUAGGGGAGAUCGGAAUUCCUGGUGUAGCGGUGAAAUGCGCAGAUAUCAGGAGGAACACCGGUGGCGAAGGCGGAUCUCUGGGCCAUUACUGACGCUGAGGAGCGAAAGCGUGGGGAGCGAACAGGAUUAGAUACCCUGGUAGUCCACGCCGUAAACGUUGGGAACUAGGUGUUGGCGACAUUCCACGUCGUCGGUGCCGCAGCUAACGCAUUAAGUUCCCCGCCUGGGGAGUACGGCCGCAAGGCUAAAACUCACAGGAAUUGACGGGGGCCCGCACAAGCAGCGGAGCAUGUGGCUUAAUUCGACGCAACGCGAAGAACCUUACCAAGGCUUGACAUAUACCGGAGAGCAUUAUAGAUAGUGCCCCCCUCGUGGUCGGGAUACAAGUGGUGCAUGGCUGU
rnacentral:rRNA from 1 species